CAGAGUACUUUAACUCCCAACCCACUGUGAACAUACCUGUAUUCGUUGCUUCGGCGAGCAGCCCCAGGGCGGGGCUGUGGCCUUCACAGGCGCUCGCCGGAGGUAUUACACUCUAUUUUUAUUUUAUGUUUCUUCUGAGUGGUCUAAGCAAAUAAUCA
rnacentral:misc_RNA from 1 species